rnacentral:lncRNA from 1 species
UGUAAUAUAUAGAACUUAGUAGUCUAAUAACUAAAAAUUUAAAAUCAUUCGUUAUCAUGCCAAAUUUACAAUAAAUACAAGCAACCUAUAUACAUGUUCCUAACCAAUCACUUUUAUUUCUACAAGCUCAAGCACACUUUUGAAAAGAAAAAUAAAAAAAAGGAAUAGAAAUAGAAAUAGAAACGAAGUUUCCUAUGUUCCCCCCCCCACACACACUUUAGAUAGCACACUUUCCCUAAUGUGCAACCCCUAAGUAGAUAAGAAACGAAGUUACCCGAUUGAUCGUGACAUUGUCGUAGUCUUAUGUUGGGUG